GCAGGGCCUCUCUCAGAGCCUAUGUCUGCACACUGCUGAUGCUUGGAAGGUCUCUAUCCAACCACAUUACUUCUGGGCUACCUGUGCCGUGUUUACUGCUGAUGUCUUACAGCAGAGGUUCAAGAGAUGAUCACUAGUCUUGGGUCCUUGGGGACAUAUGGCAGACCCCACAUGAUACGGGUGUAAAGGUGCACGUGCGUUCAUGAGAAGCCCCCACUUCUCCUCCAGGGACCUAGCACCCAGCCUGUCCUCACUAGAACAGCCUCAGCUGAAAGACGAGCAGCUACAUGCAUGGACCUCCUUGUUACACACUUUCAUUGUGCAGCCUCAAUGAGGUGCUCCUCCUGACUCUGCAUUUUGUGGGGGACAUCAGGCUAGUGGCUGUUGGUGCUCAGUCAAUGUGGCAUCAGGGUCCCUUCCAAAGUCAUCUCAAAGUUGUUUGGAGACUCUCAUCACUUCCUGCUGUUUGGUUACUGAAUCUCUGGGUCGUUGACGUUUUCUCUCAGCCUCUCUCUCCUCAACUGUUUUUUAUCUCCUGACCAAUGAAGAAAAUAAGUGAAGCAGGAUUAAACCACAGGCCAGAGUAUCAUCCAUUCUAAGCCUCCUGCCCCUGCUACCUGUCCUUAGCCUUGUCCUCUGGCCUAUUCAGUCUCAGGAAAGAAGCCGGCAGAGAGAGGCAGCUGUUUGCACACAGGGAAAAUGCCUCCGUUAAAAAUAUAUCCAAGGGCUGUCCUUCUGUCCCAGACCAGUCCUGACAGCUAAGACGGCUGGCACCCACCUGGCACACUCUAGUGCCUUUGUCAUGUCACCUCCUGCCACAUCAAGCCUUUGGCACAGUCCUGGUGACUCAACCUCUGCCAGGCCCACGCCAUCUUCUGCCCAACCCAUAGCGGGUGGUGUCCAACAUGUUCGGGUUGGUACAGGUUGGUAGUAGGCCAUAGUUUCCCGGACUUCGUUUGUUUCCGAGGUAGUGUUUGCAGGGGUGGUAGACAUGCCACCAUUCUUCAGUUUUUUCUUUGACUUUCCCCUGUAACUUCAAUGAACAAACUGCUGGUCUACCUUCGAGCUCUUCCACCUCCCAGAGGAGAUGUUCUGUGCCCAGUGCCCGGGGUGUCUCCUUUGGCCUUACAGUCAGCACAGUUUGGUCCAAAGCUCUCUGGCCGCACCCACAUACCAAGGCAGUGCUGAUGUCAGUGUGUUCCCUGCAAAGGUGCCCAUCCAUUGUUUCCUCCGUAGACCAAGGAGGCUGGGAGAGUUUCUUUCCAACUCUCUCAGUCCCUGUAGAAGUCCCAGGACAUGCUGAUGCAUCCCUCAGCAAAGGGGUGGUCGAUGGCACUGAGUAAGAAGGAAAGUAAGACAUAUAGAAAAAAAGAUAAAAGCCCAGAGGGAAAAGAUAGAAGGGCUAGAAACAAGCCAAGCUAAGGCCAGGCCCUCAUAACUAAGAAUAAGCCUCUGUGUGUGAUUUAUUUGGAAGCUGAGUGAUGGGCCCCUCAAAGAGCCAAAAGAGUAGAGACAAAACUACAACUACAAAAUGAGUACCAUGGUGGUGUUUGGACAUCCAUCUAGAUAGAGCCUGAGAAAGUGUGUGUGUGUGGGGGCGGGGCAUGGCUCCUUUAAGAGACACUGCUGUUUAGCUGGCAAUGCUAAAUAGAAGCUACAAACAGCAAGCUAAGUAAAAACUGCUUGCAACAACGCAGGUACUGGCUCCCAUAGAUAGAAAGGUUUAAUGCAGUUUUCCAUGAGCCUCGGACCAGGAGGAAAACUUUACACUUGGCUUUCCUGCCCCAAGAAGUGGGCCGAGCCAGCUGAUAGAGCUGCACUGGGAGAACACAGGUGUAGCUUAACAGUUUAACGUUUGCUCCUUUGGUCAAAAAAGACUAGAGAUACACAGUAAAAGAGGUCCAGAUGGAAAAACCUCUGAAUGGGUUCCAGUGUGUUUACAAUGUGCAUAGGCUUAAGAAAGAAAGAAACAGGUAUGGACAGUCAUAGAAAGAAAUAAACAACUUAAAAUAAUACAAUAGAUGUCUUUAAAGAGAGAGUAAAAAUAAUAAAAAAAUAAUAAGGCACAUAAAGAUGGGAAAUACACAAAGAGUCUGGAUCCUGUAUGCUAUUGUGUUGAUUUUGAAUUAUUUGAUUGCUAAAAGCAAAGGACAGCUGCUAAGAGACCUGGAGUGGAAAUAAACAAGCCUAUAUACUUUAGGAAUGCCUUAACUUUAAAAAAGUCAAAUGUUAUUUGUCACAUGGAAAUAAAAAAAAUGCUUUGGAGAAAUGGUUUUGCUUUUACUUCCAUAGGAAACAAGAGGCUGUGAGUUCGUUCCAGGUAGAUAUGGGUCAGGUUUGGUCAAAGAAGACCACCUGAAACUUGACAGGUGAUGUCUAUCAACAAAAUUAUAGCUGGUCUUUGCAGGACUUGGUCAUUAUCUCAAUUUUCUCUCUGGGAUCCUAAUGGUGUCUUCUUACCCACAACCAGCAAGAAGCAGUCUAGAGAAAACAAUACCCACAUUCCCAACAGUGUGAGAGGCUUUUAGUUAUUUGGUGGGUUAUGGAUGCUUGUCAUAAUUUAUGGGGGAUGUUUAUUAAUUGUUACUGGUGUUGGCAAGGGAGGAAAUUAUGCAAAUGAUAUUAUAUUCAGGGAUCUCUUUGAAAAAAAGGAAAAGAGGAAGGAUGUAGGAUUGAUAGGAUGAAAGGGUAGAUUGUUGAAUCUAUUAUAAACUAAGGGACAAGUAUUGAUCUAAAAUACUUUGUAUUUGUAAGGUGUGAGAAAAAUUUAAGGUCAUUUUUGUUACAAUACACUAUAUAUUUCUAAUUUUGUUUAAAGUAUUUUAGUAUAUUGAUACAAAUUUAAUGUUAUUUUUGUUACACUGUAUAUAUGUUUCUACUUUUGUCUAAAGGGUUUUUGUAGAUUGUUACAAUUUUUUUUCAAGAUAGGGUUUCUCUGUGUAGCUUUGUAGACCAGGCUGGCCUGAUUGAUACAAAUUUAAGGUUGUAUUUGUUACCACAUAUUGUAUAUGUAUUUCUCCUCUUGUUUAAGUUAUUGUAUCUGUGUAGUUCAUUUAAAAAUGUAAGAUAACCUUCUAGUUUUUGAAAGCUUUUAUUAUAAACUAUAUAGGACAAUCAAGAAACGUAGUAGUCAUUUAUAACAAUUUUUGUAGAUAUGUUUUCUAGGUUAAAUAGAUGCAUUUUUAGAUAGAUGGUCUUCAUAUACUUCAAAGACCUAUAGAAUUUAAAUGUUUUGUUAAUUUAAAGAUUUUCAUGACUAUGAGACUCAUCUGCUCCUGGCAACACCAAUUUACUUCAGAAAAGACGAUGGGCAUUGAAGAGACUCUUUGUGGAGUUUGCUUUUGUUGUGGCAAGGUUAGCCACUGAGUAAAGAAACUGUUCUUGCCUUUGAUGCCAAUGUGCUAUGCAAAUAUUCUGCAAGACACACAGAGAAAACAUUGUUGAUCUUUGCCAAAACAAGGCUGGACAGUCCUUCAAAAUUCCUGCGUCACAGAAGAGUCUAUCAGAUAUUCUGCAGACACAGAGGGAAGUGACUGACAAACUGCCAAUAUAGGCAGGACAGUCUUUCAAAUUUCCUGCUUCAUUGAAAAGUCUGCAGGUACUAUGGGCUUGUAGAGAGAAAAUGAAUGCCCCAGUGUUUUAAAGGAACUUUGGGUGACUGUCCAGGCAGUCAUAUGUCUCUGUCAUUUUUAGAGUUUUUGGAAGUAAUUUGCAAUGCGAUUUUUGUUUAUUUAAAUAAUAUUAUAUCCUUCUGGAGUCUUUGAUGGAGUUGAAAACCUCAUAUAGUUGCAGUGUUCCUUAGAUAUGAUAGAAAGUAGGUUAGGUAUAAAACUUUGGAUUCACUGAGAUAGGAUAGAUAGUGCAUUAUUUUCUCUGAAUUUGCUGAAUUGCAAAUGGACAGAAUAUUGUAAAUUAAUUCUUAUUUGAUAACUAUUUUUGUUGUAUAUAGUUCUACUAUUUUAUAGCUAAAACCUUUUUUUGUUUAGACAAAAACGGGUAAAUGUUGGGGAGUAUUUUUAAGGUGUAUGACUUGUUUAUGCUGCGUUAAACCGUGAAGCUGUGAUUCUUUGCCUGUCUAAAACACCUGAUGGUCUAAUAAAGAGCUGAAUGCCAACAGCAAGGCAGGCGCAAGGGCGGACAGAAAGAAUAAAUAGAAGAAACAGGGAAAGAGGAAGAGGAGCAAGAGAACAAGGAGAGGACUCAGGGGAGGAGAGAGAGAGAAGAGUUAAAACAACUUUGUUUCUUACUAAUCAUCCAGGAUUUGGGAGGACAAUUGAACAGAGAUACCGAAAAUCUCAGGGAAGUUGAUUUCAGCCAAGAAGUCAUCUUAGACAUGCCAAGUUCUCCAACAGCAGGAAAACAAUGGGGCAUCGGAACAACCUCCCCAGGGCAAUGGACACCAUGAGCUAUUUGGAAUCAUCCUUGAUUUGGGAAAUAAUGAUGUUCCCAAAGUAAGUUCCCCAAGAAUGUAACUCUGGCAGAGUUUUUUUUACAAAGAUCCCCCAAGAAAGAGCUGUGGAGACUCACACAGGCUUCUCACUGAAGAGCGUUUAUGGAAUAUUAGGAAAAUAAAGGCUACGUGAGUGAAAACUGAAGGGUAGGAGUUUUAAUCUGUACAGUGACACAGGAAAGCUCCAUUUGUAAUUGUAAAACUCAAUAAAUGUAAGUGUGUAAUAAAGACAAUUUUGUAGCCAAAUCCAGGACAGUGGUGCACACUUGUCCAUCCCAGUACUUCAGAGACUUAAGGACGGAGGAUCUUGAUUUCUAGGCCAGCCUGCGCUGGACCGUCAGACUCUGUCUCAUGUAAACAAGACAAAACAUGAUGGCCUUCUGUUUUCUCCUAUGAUUUUUACUUUGAGGAUGGGAUAGAUAUGGUUAGGAUGAGAUAUAGGUACAUUAUUAUCUUCUUGUGAUUCACCUUAGUGAUUAUUGACUAUAGACAACUUACACUGUUAUAGAUCCUUGUAUGAGGUAACUUACGUAUAAUUUGUAUAUCACAAGUCGUCUUACUGUGUAAAUUCUUCUCUCUACUUGUGACGAUGUAUGGUCUUACAUAUGUUAAGACAUUCUGUACACAAUUGAGCGGUACAGGUAUCCAGGGUCUCCCCCUACAAAUAAAUAAGUCAGCCAGGUGAUGUGAUACAUGUCUUUACUCCUAGCACUUGGAGACGGAGGCAGGAGGAUGUCUAUGAGUCAGAUGCCAGUAUGGGCUGCACAGUAAAACCUCAAAAACCACAAAAAUCUCAAAAAUAGAAAAAAAUCCUUAGAAUUUUACUAUUUUACUGCAUGGUCACAAAGAUUAUCACUAUGAGUAAUAGGUAAGCCAGAGAGAAUGUGGAGAAAUCUGUGGACAAGGCUUUAACCAACGGGCAGAGAGGCUGAACCUCCGUAGAUUACACUCAGCAUGGCACACAAUGGCCAUACUGAGGACCCCCAGGGAGGACCCCAUACCUGUGCAGAAGGGCAGGAAGGCUCAGGAGCUGGGGCAAGAGGAAGUGCCUUGAAGUCAGGUGGACUGGAGGAAGUCUGGAACAGAGGCUCAAGACUUGGGUGAGAAUUUCUCCAAGGCUCUGGCUGAAGCUUGCAGGACCUCUCUACCAACCCUACACUAGGCUUUAUUGUUGUACUAUCUGAGGAGUCUGCUGUGCUAACUGCAGCGACCUCUAGGUGAAGACCAAAGAACCUAUCAGCACGCAACGGCAUUGGGUAUCCCCAGCGGGUCCACACUGUAACUUUCCUCCUAUGGCUGUAACAAGUCACUAUAAACUCUGUCUUCCAAAGACUGUAACUGUGCUGUCGUCUUCCAGCCUCACCGGGUAAAGUCAGGAGUCAGCAGUCCCACUCCUUUCUGGAGGAGAUGGUCUGUUAUCCUGCCUUUCUUACCACAGAAACGACACUCCACGCCAGGGCCCUCUUACUUCAUCCCUAGAGCCGGCCACGUUGGGUCUCUCUACUUUGCUCCAUCCUCACAUCUCUCUGACCAACAGCCAAGUGGGGGUGGGGGGCUCUGUUUUUAAGGCCAGGUAUGACUGAGGAGGCUCCAGGACCAGCAAGGAUGCUCUCCCAUUUCAAGGUAACUGACCCACCGAGUCUGCUAAGCCCACAUAAGGCCACAUUUUCACAGGUUAGGACAGGACAUUUUUCUUAAGAUUAAAAACAUAAAAACCUGGUGUGUUUAUGCAUGUGGGUGCCCAGAAGAGGGUGUUGGGUCCCCUGGAAUGGGGGUUACAGACGGUUGUGAGCUACCACACGUAUUAGUACUAAGCACCAAAUUGAGGUCCUCGGCAAGAGCAGUACAUGCUCUGAAUUGCUGAGCCACCUCUCCAGCCCCAGGACAGGGACCUCUUUUGUUUGUAUGAGAGGACCAUUCUUCAAUUUAGCAUACAUGCUGCAAUUAGAUAGGUCAGUUGAAAAGUCCUGUCAGUGGAUAGAGACUUUGACAUUUUACUCCUAUCCCUAAUAGAAACAGCACUGAAGAUCCAAGUGAACCCACAACACAAAAGCCAAAAAACCCACAGCACUUGGAAGAUUUAGACUCAGUGGAGGGCAGAAAACUGCAAAAUGAGAACAAAAUCAACACCCUCCACCCCCAGAAAUAGCUGUGAAAUUACACACAGGGAAAGAAUGACAUUAAAAACCCACCUUUCUGACAUUAGCAGAAAGAAAUACUGUUAAGUUUUCAAAGACAUGGGGGACUUUUCCCAGAAGUAAAAUAGAGACAGAAAGGAGAAGGGAUGAGUGAGUGGAUCAGUGCAGAAUGGAAGAAAAGCUGGUCCCAGGAAGGGAAGCAAAAACAAGGCAAGGGGAUUAGAAAGGCAGGAACUUCUGCUAGAGUGGAGAGACUUCACUGAUCAUGGUAGCGAGGCUGAAUGACAACAGCCUCCAUGGUGACCUGGGAC
ensembl:lncRNA